rnacentral:rRNA from 1 species
UCGAGAAUCUUUCACAAUGGGGGGAACCCUGAUGGAGCGACGCCGCGUGGAGGAUACAGUCUUCGGAUUUUAAACUCCUGUCAUGCGAGAACAAAGCCUUCGGGUCUGAUAGUAUCGCAAGAGGAAGAGGCGGCUAACUCUGUGCCAGCAGCCGCGGUAAUACAGAGGCCUCAAGCGUUGUUCGGAAUCACUGGGCGUAAAGGGUGCGUAGGCGUCCGGCUAAGUCAGUUGUAAAAUUCCUGCGCUCAACGCAGUGUGUGCAAUUGAUACUGGUUGGAUUGAGGGUCGGAAAAGAGUCAAGAAUUCACGGUGUAGCAGUGAAAUGCGUAGAUAUCGUGAGGAAUACCAAAGGCGAAAGCAUGACUCCGGACGAUUCCUGACGCUGAGGCACGAAGGCUAGGGGAGCAAAUGGG